UACGGGGGGGGUAAGCGUUGUUCGGAAUUACUGGGCGUAAAGGGCUCGUAGGCGGCCAACUAAGUCAUACGUGAAAUCCCUCAGCUUAACUGGGGAACUGCGUGUGAUACUGGAUGGCUUGGAUUCGGGAGAGGGAUGCGGAAUUCCAGGUGUAGCGGUGAAAUGCGUAGAUAUCUGGAGGAACAUCGGUGGCGAAGGCGACAUCCUGGACCGGUAUUGACGCUGAGGCGCGAAAGCCAGGGGAGCAAACGGG
rnacentral:rRNA from 1 species